rnacentral:rRNA from 1 species
UACGAAGGGGGCUAGUGUUGCUCGGAAUACUGGGCGUAAAGCGCACGUAGGCGGUCUUUUAAGUCGGGGGUGAAAUCCUGGAGCUCAACUCCAGAACUGCCUUCGAUACUGGAAGACUCGAGUCCGGGAGAGGUGAGUGGAACUGCGAGUGUAGAGGUGAAAUUCGUGAUAGAUUCGCAAGAACACCAGUGGCGAAGGCGGCUCACUAGCCCGGUACGUGACGCUGAGGUGCGAAAGCGUGGGGAGCAAACAGG